GACGAACGCUGGCGGCGUGCUUAACACAUGCAAGUCGUACGGUAAGGCCCUUUCGGGGGUACACGAGUGGCGAACGGGUGAGUAACACGUGAGUAACCUGCCCACAACUUUGGGAUAACGCUAGGAAACUGGUGCUAAUACUGGAUAUGUGCUCCUGCUGCAUGGUGGGGGUUGGAAAGCUCCGGCGGUUGUGGAUGGACUCGCGGCCUAUCGGCUUGUUGGUGGGGUAGUGGCCUACCAAGGCGGCGACGGGUAGCCGGACUGAGAGGGUGACCGGCCACAUUGGGACUGAGAGACGGCAGAGACUGCGAAGGGAGGGAGAAGGGGGGAAUAUUGCACGAGGGGCGCAAGCCUGAUGAAGAAACGCCGCGUGCGGGAUGACGGUCUUAGGGUUGAAAACCGCUUUCAGCAGGGACGAAGCUUUUUGUGACGGUACCUGCAGAAGAAGCAACGGCUAACUACGUG
rnacentral:rRNA from 1 species